rnacentral:rRNA from 1 species
GGUCUUGCUGUCACUUAUAGAUGGAUCCGCGCUGCAUUAGCUAGUUGGUAAGGUAACGGCUUACCAAGGCAACGAUGCAUAGCCGACCUGAGAGGGUGAUCGGCCACACUGGAACUGAGACACGGUCCAGACUCCUACGGGAGGCAGCAGUAGGGAAUCUUCCGCAAUGGGCGAAAGCCUGACGGAGCAACGCCGCGUGAGUGAUGAAGGUCUUCGGAUCGUAAAACUCUGUUAUUAGGGAAGAACAUAUGUGUAAGUAACUGUGCACAUCUUGACGGUACCUAAUCAGAAAGCCACGGCUAACUACGUGCCAGCAGCCGCGGUAAUACGUAGGUGGCAAGCGUUAUCCGGAAUUAUUGGGCGUAAAGCGCGCGUAGGCGGUUUUUUAAGUCUGAUGUGAAAGCCCACGGCUCAACCGUGGAGGGUCAUUGGAAACUGGAAAACUUGAGUGCAGAAGAGGAAAGUGGAAUUCCAUGUGUAGCGGUGAAAUGCGCAGAGAUAUGGAGGAACACCAGUGGCGAAGGCGACUUUCUGGUCUGUAACUGACGCUGAUGUGCGAAAGCGUGGGGAUCAAACAGGAUUAGAUACCCUGGUAGUCCACGCCGUAAACGAUGAGUGCUAAGUGUUAGGGGGUUUCCGCCCCUUAGUGCUGCAGCUAACGCAUUAAGC